rnacentral:rRNA from 1 species
AUUGAACGCUGGCGGCAGGCCUAACACAUGCAAGUCGAGCGGAUGAGGGGAGCUUGCUCCUGGAUUCAGCGGCGGACGGGUGAGUAAUGCCUAGGAAUCUGCCUGGUAGUGGGGGAUAACGUCCGGAAACGGGCGCUAAUACCGCAUACGUCCUGAGGGAGAAAGUGGGGGAUCUUCGGACCUCACGCUAUCAGAUGAGCCUAGGUCGGAUUAGCUAGUUGGUGGGGUAAAGGCCUACCAAGGCGACGAUCCGUAACUGGUCUGAGAGGAUGAUCAGUCACAGUGGAACUGAGACACGGUCCAGACCCCUACGGGAGGCAGCAGUGGGGAAUAUUGGACAAUGGGCGAAAGCCUGAUCCAGCCAUGCCGCGUGUGUGAAGAAGGUCUUCGGAUUGUAAAGCACUUUAAGUUGGGAGGAAGGGCAGUAAGUUAAUACCUUGCUGUUUUGACGUUACCAACAGAAUAAGCACCGGCUAACUUCGUG